rnacentral:rRNA from 1 species
GACGAACGCUGGCGGCGUGCUUAACACAUGCAAGUCGAACGGAAAGGCCCUGCUUUUGUGGGGUGCUCGAGUGGCGAACGGGUGAGUAACACGUGAGUAACCUGCCCUUGACUUUGGGAUAACUUCAGGAAACUGGGGCUAAUACCGUAUAGGAUCUCCUGCUGCAUGGUGGGGGUUGGAACGUUUCGGCGGUUGGGGAUGGACUCGCGGCUUAUGAGCUUGUUGGUGGGGUAGUGGCUUACCAAGGCUUUGACGGGUAGCCGGCCCGAGAGGGUGAACGGCGACAUGGGUACUGCGAGACGGACCAGACGGCUACGGGAGGCAGCAGGGGGGAAUAUUGUACAGCGGGCGGACGCCGGAGGCAGCAACGUCGCGUGUGGGAUGACGGUCUUUGGGGUGAAAAACGCUGUAGCCUGUGACGAAGCGGUAGUGACGGUAAUGGGUAAAGAAGCACCGGCUAACUACGUG